ACCAUAUGUGUCAUGGAUUUAUUUCUUUGCUUAAAUAUUUGGACAAUGUGUUAGGCCUUUUGUUUCAUUUUGACUUAUGUUUGUAAUACUUGUUCUAGAUUGACCACAACAUAAUUCUUGGUACCCGAUUUAUGCAUAUAUCAUUGUAUUAUUUGUAUUAUUGGAUACAUGUUGUUUAUCUGUUAUCCAAUGCUUACAUUGCAACCUGGAGUUUUCGCUGAUGGUCGAGGUGUGACACUGUCCUCCUCCGCCAGUAUCACCGUGAUACGUUUGGACCGCCUUAGAUUGCUGGGAGGAGACACGGAUGCUCGUUCUAUUCUCGAACGUUCGACAAAAAACUUGAAAGCCCUGCAAUCUUUUAUUUCACUCGCUUAUCGCUCAAUCUCCUAUGAAAGACUGUACAACAUAGUUGGUGAUUCCGAUAGUGACGAAGGUAUUGGAUUCGAACGUUCCCAAAUCAAAUGCCAACAAUUCCAUCUCAGGUUUUCGAUUUCUUCCACGAUUAGGGUUCUGAUUGACUGUUCCAAACUUCCAAUUUCCAUUUGGGUUUGCUUUUAAGAAUCUGAAGCUCCGAUACUGUGUAUAAGAAAUCCCUAGUAUGUCGAUGUUAAUUUUUUGGAACGGGUUUCCCGGUUUUGACAUUUCAUCGAUAUACCAAUUCAGUGUCUUUGGGCUUUGAUGUUGUCAUACAACACUCGUACAACUACUAGGAUAUUUCUCGGAAACUGGAAAGAUGAUAGAUGCAAUAAUAGACAGCAAAGGAGCAUUGUUUCAAUGUUGAAGAAGGCCAACUGUUAGAAUGUUCGAGUAAACCAACUAGCCUGCAGAGGUUGUGGAGUGUCGACCAGGUAGGGAACCCAUCAAAAAUAGCAAGUGGCAAAAGGAGGGAUUCACACACAUGGCAACUUUUGACUUUGCUAUGUAUUUAUGCUUAAUGUAUGUGUCAAUUUUCUAUUCAUGCUCUAUGUAACAUGGAAGCAAUUAGAAAAGUCAAGAGACUUGAACAAAUUAAUAUGGCUUAUUUGAGUGGAUAUCAUAUCAUGCUUGAAAUUUUUCUA